rnacentral:rRNA from 1 species
AAACGUAGGGGGCUAGCGUUGUUCGGAAUUACUGGGCGUAAAGCGCGUGUAGGCGGCCCCGCAAGUCGGAAGUGAAAGCCCUCGGCUCAACCGGGGAACUGCUUUCGAAACUGCGGGACUUGAGUGUGGGAGGGGAGAGCGGAAUUCCCGGUGUAGCGGUGAAAUGCGUAGAUAUCGGGAAGAACACCGGUGGCGAAGGCGGCUCUCUGGACCACUACUGACGCUGAGACGCGAAAGCGUGGGUAGC